UCUGGCUCAUAACUCACCCUAAUUUUGAUUUAUAGAUUGGUUAUGGAUUAUUUUCGUUGACACAGACAUGCUGACCUUCUUUCAGGUCCUCCAGUGGCUUGUCCCACCUGUCUCAGGACCUUUGCAUAGGCAGAUGACCCCGUAGCCUGUCCACAGCUGCCCCCUCCCACCCCACCCCAAUAACCAAGCACACAUCUGGUUAACGCCCACUCAUCUUUCAGAUUCCAGCUCCAACGACACUUCUCCAGGGAAGCUCUCCCUGCCUCGACUCCUCUACCUGCUGGCCAAGCCUCCCUUGUUAUAUGAUCUCAUAGCAUUCUGCACUUUUAAUUUUUCAUCAGAACACUUAUGGUUUUAAAGUAUAUAUUUGGAUGAUUAUUCGCCCUCCACCUAGACAAAGCAUCUUGAAAGCUGGAAGUGUGUGUGCUUGACCCAUCACUCUGUCCCUUCCACAGUGCCUGGUGCACACAGAUGCUCAGGUAUUUUUGAAUAGUAAGGAGAGUUGUCUGAAGAGGGGAGGGAUUUCAUUUGAAAACUAAAAUGUAGAAAUUGGUAAAACGCUUGGUCAGUAACUGAGUAUGAAGAUGUCAAUGGGGACUGUGGGGUGAUGCCCAGGUUCUCUCUUUAAAACCAGGCACUCCUCCCUCCAGACAGUGGGAGUUUUGAUGGUUGAUGCCCAUCAGCCAAGUCCCUCUCCAGAAAUAGCCCUCAGCAAAGAAAGUCACCUCACCUAAGGUCAAGCCCCCUCCUAAGAGCGGCCCACAUCCAGUGAGAGGUUAAUUGGGGGGUAUGUGUCCCAUCCCUUGCCUCAGCGUGUAACAAUUCUGAAGGCUUAUCCCAGGUCCAGAGGUCACCAUAGGACUGGCUGAGCCCACUGUUGCAUCUGCAUCAGCUGUUCAAUGCCCCCUCCAGCCCCCCACCCCAUCUCCCUCCCUGCCCCCUCACAGAGCUGGUCCUGAGACCACUCUCCCCCCAACAAACCACCUGCCCACAAGUCUCAGUGUCUGUUUCCCAAGGGAGUUGACCCACAACUGGGCAUGAGGGAGAUGGAGGAGUCUAAGGUGCCGCCUCCAUUUCUGACCUGCGACAGCACAUGAUGCCAUCCACAGAUGAACACAGGAGACAGAUAAUGCACAGAAGCUGAAGCAGGUUUGGAGGUGUUAAGUCUUGAGUUUCCUGUGGUCUGAAGAGUCUGAAGCUCAGAAGAAAGAUUUGGGCUAGAGGUAUGGGCUUGGGAGUCACUGGCACACCAAGCCAGUGACGUGAAAGCUCAUCCAUGGACGAGUGGAGAGUGAAAGAAACAGAGGACUGGUGUGAUCUGGGACCCAGCAGGGGGAGGCCGGGCAAGGGAGACAAACUCACAGCAAGGAGUAAUCAGAGGUAGGAAAACGAGGAGCGUGAGCAUUAUGGAUACCAGAGGGAGCGGCAGAGCGGUGUACAGAGUCUGCAGGGGGAUGUGGCAGACGCUGCAGAGAACGCAGCACGGAAAAGCGUUCACUGGGUUUAAUGACACGGCCACUCAAAACCUUGCUGGGGGCAGUUUUAGCGGAGUGAGUGAAAGAAGCCAGAUGCCAGUAAAGCAGAUGGGGUGGGAGGGAUGAAGGAGAGACGGACGUGAUAACCUUUUGCAGUUUUCAUGAGACAGGAAGAGCGAAAGGAGAGGUAGCUAUAGCAGUAAGGAGCCAAGAGAACAGGAGGAUAUUUGUGUGUAAAUGAUGGGGGAGACGGACUGAAGAAGUUCCAGUUAGAAAGGGAUCACAUGAAGGCAACAGGAGUGGCAACUGCUCAGAAGUUCUUCAGGAGGUGGAAGAUGACUGAGGGCACAGGAUUAAUCUUGGAGAGGUAGAGCCAAACUACCACUGCCACCGGAAGGAAGAUGACUAGACAUGGAGGCGGGUAACAAUCGCUACACUUUAUGCUCUUUAAGCAUCUGGAACCGUGCGUACUUUUUUUAACCCUCACAACAAAUCUUCAGGUAGUACAUCACCCCACCAGUCCGGAGAUAGUGGCGCGAGGGGGCGGGGCCUCGGCUCUGAUAGGCUCCCUCCUUGCUCGGAGCCCUGCCCAGCCCCCCGGUGGCGGAGAGUGCCCGCUUCCGUGUGGGCGGGUCGUGGAGGGGCGUGCUACCCAGGGAUGGACGGUUCUAGAUGCAGCCCCUAACCAUCUUGAACCGGGUUCGGCAAGGAAGCAGGAGGAGUGAAGACUGCAUUUCCUGAAGGAGGUGUACCGGAGCGGGGAACAUGGACGUGAACAGUGCUGGCUAGAUUGUAAGCUCCUUGAGGAUGAGAACUGAGUUUUGACUCCCUGUAUAGCCCCAGUAUCUGGUACAUGUUACAGAGGCCUGUUACGAAGCACACGUUUCCAGCUUGUUCCAGUGUCUGGGUCCAACGAUUUUCCCUUUCCUUCCUCCAAUUAGCCACAAGAUGGCAGCCUAAGCCACGCUGGUACUUAAUUUCCUGUGAGGAAGAAGUGGUGCUUUGGGUUAAAAUGCCCUUCUCUGAGCCAGAAGAGGAUCCCUUUGAAGUGAGAUUAAGUCACACAUUACAGAAGAUUUCUCUGAAAAUGUCCUCUGCAUCUUCUCUUCUUCAUUGACUCUGAGGAACAAUCUGGAAUACUAACAAGCAAGACAAAGGAGAGAUUUUCUUCUCCUUGCCUGAGGGGCCGUUGGGCUAUUUAGAAAACAGUUCUAGGGAGAGCACGGAGCUCUGAGCUCUGGGAAACAAGGACACCGGGGUGCGGUGGGGGUGUGGGGGGGAGUAUUUACUGACCCCCUCGUCACACUGUUUUGUGUAAACUGUGAGUUCUAGAGGUAAGGUCUAGAGCAGGGGGUCAGCAAACUAUGGCCCUAGGGCCAAAUCUGGGGCUCUGCUUGAUUUCGUAAAUAAAUUUACUUGGAACGCA